AUUGAACGCUGGCGGCAGGCUUAACACAUGCAAGUCGAGCGGAGAUGAGGUGCUUGCACCUUAUCUUAGCGGCGGACGGGUGAGUAAUGCUUAGGAAUCUGCCUAUUAGUGGGGGACAACAUUCCGAAAGGAAUGCUAAUACCGCAUACGCCCUACGAGGGAAAGCAGGGGAUCUUCGGACCUUGCGCUAAUAGAUGAGCCUAAGUCGAAUUAGCUAGUUGGUGGGGUAAAGGCCUACCAAGGCGACGAUCUGUAGCGGGUCUGAGAGGAUGAUCCGCCACACUGGGACUGAGACACGGCCCAGACUCCUACGGGAGGCAGCAGUGGGGAAUAUUGGACAAUGGGCGGAAGCCUGAUCCAGCCAUGCCGCAUGUGUGAAGAAGGCCUUUUGGUUGUAAAGCACUUUAAGCGAGGAGGAGGCUACCUGGAUUAAUACUCUAGGAUAGUGGACGUUACUCGCAGAAUAAGCACCGGCUAACUCUGUGCCAGCCGCCGCCGUAACAC
rnacentral:rRNA from 1 species